rnacentral:lncRNA from 1 species
CCUCCCUUCUCUCUGCUUCCGGCCGCCAUGAUGUGAGCAGCUUUCCUCCACUCAGACCCUUCAACCACGGUAUUUCUGCCUUGGAGCUGGCCAGCGGUGCAAGGACCGAGACUUCUAAAACUUGACAGCGUGCCGAAAUGCGCAGCACAAUUCCCUGGGAGGAACUGAGGGCCAAAUCCCCGCUAACCUCCACAGCAGAGCUUGAGUUGACCUCCUGUCCCUCCCCAGCAAGCCAUAGAGGAUAAGAACUUCAUUCAGCCACCAGCAUGAUGUACGUGCUCACCAGAGGUAUCACCAAGGCAUUUGGAAAGUGGGAUUUCUUCUGAAUGAAGCAAAGUGUUGAGAGGAACAGUCUGGUUCCUAGUUGGACGGAGGCUGGGGACUCCUGCCUGGACACUGGGACCUCAGGUGGGGAGCUGAGUCUGUAAAGAAUGGAGAUUCCCACGACAGCUGUGAGCAAGGAGGUUUGCAGGCCAGUGUGUCACAUCUGAAAGCACACGUGAAGGUCUUCAAGCUAGGAAGCACUGUAGUAGAUUAAUACAUCUUUUUUAAGAAGUCUGCUUAGCAUUAUUUAUCCUUAUUAGUUCAUGAUGUUCAUAUUCAUCUCAGGGAUAAAUUCAUGUACUUAACAAUCUUGAUUCUUUUUAUUCCCCUUCCCGCCCGUCUCCCUCCCUCCGACUCUAGAUCCCCUUUCACCAUUUUCAUUAUUAUUAUUAUAUUUUAAAUUUAUUUUUUAUUAGUUCAUAUUUGGUACAUAGAAAUAGUGCAUUCACUGAGGGUAGUAGGUACAAGUACGUGACCCAUCUUGAAUCUUUUUAGGUUCCCUUUCAGGUUAGGAUUUAAAAUCAGAAAAUGAUGUCUUCACAAACUCUGGAUACUGGCAGAUUUCUGCUACUGCUGCAGGGCCUGUCCAAAUUCGGAAACUAGUCCCCUCAGAAAUCCCUUGGAGUCUGGCCCCCAGAUGCAAGAGGUCAAAUUGCUUUUGCUUUAGCUGCUUAAUUGUUGCCUUUUUCCUUCCAGCUCCCUCCCUGUUUUCCAAGCAAUUUACUCUUAGCCAUUGGUGGAUAUUAUUUAGUUAGUCAUGGCAACAAAGCCAUGUAAUAAGGCAUUGACACCCUGACUUCGUCA